UUGAACGCUGGCGGAAUGCUUUACACAUGCAAGUCGAACGGCAGCACGGGGGCAACCCUGGUGGCGAGUGGCGAACGGGUGAGUAAUACAUCGGAACGUGCCCGGUCGUGGGGGAUAACGUAGCGAAAGUUACGCUAAUACCGCAUACGAUCUGAGGAUGAAAGCGGGGGACCUUCGGGCCUCGCGCGAUCGGAGCGGCCGAUGUCAGAUUAGGUAGUUGGUGGGGUAAAGGCCUACCAAGCCGACGAUCUGUAGCUGGUCUGAGAGGACGACCAGCCACGCUGGGACUGAGACACGGCCCAGACUCCUACGGGAGGCAGCAGUGGGGAAUUUUGGACAAUGGGCGCAAGCCUGAUCCAGCCAUUCCGCGUGCAGGACGAAGGCCUUCGGGUUGUAAACUGCUUUUGUAUGGAACGAAAAGGCUCUGGCUAAUACCUGGGGCUCAUGACGGUACCGUAAGAAUAAGCACCGGCUAACUACGUG
rnacentral:rRNA from 1 species